AGGGUCGGGGAUAGCCUCUCGAAAGGGAGGGUAAUACCCGAUGACCCCGCGAUGUCAUAUGGCGUUGCGGGCAAAGGCUUGCUGCCCUGGGAUCGGGAAACGUGAUAUCAGCUUGUUGGUGAGGUAAAAGCUCACCAAGGCUAAGACGUCUAGCGGGUGUGAGAGCACGACCCGCCGCAUCGGGACUGAGACACUGCCCGGACUUCUUCGGAAGGCUGCAGUAACGAAUAUUCCGCAAUGCGCGAAAGCGUGACGGAGCAAUGCCGCGUGCAGGAUGAAUCCCCUCGGGGUGUAAACUGCUGUCAGGGUCUAGGAACACAAUGACCAGACCCAAAGGAAGAGCCGGCUAACUCUGUGCCAGCAGCCGCGGUAAUACAGAGGGCUCAAGCGUUAAUCGGAUUUACUGGGCUUAAAGGGUGUGUAGGCGGGUAGGUAAGUGCUUUGUGAAAUCCCAUGGCUUAACCAUGGAACUGCUUGGCAUACUGCCUACCUUGAGGGCGGUAGAGGUUGCCGGAACUCUAGGUGUAGCGGUGAAAUGCGUAGAUAUCUAGAGGAACGCCCAAGGUGAAGACAGGCAACUGGGCCGUCUCUGACGCUGAGACACGAAAGCGUGGGUAGCGAACGGGAUUAGAUACCCCGGUAGUCCACGCCGUAAACGAUGUGCACUAAAUGGUGGGAGCUCUGACGCUCGCACGACUGAAGCAAAAGUGUUAAGUGCACCGCCUGGGGAGUACGGUCGCAAGAUUAAAACUCAAAGGAAUUGACGGGGGCUCACACAAGCGGUGGAGCAUGUGGCUUAAUUCGAGUCAACGCGAAGAACCUUAUCCUGGAUUUGACAUGCAUGGAUUAGCAUCUAGAAACAGUUGUGACACCCUUGCGGUGGAACAUGCACAGGUGCUGCAUGGCUGUCGUCAGCUCGUGCUGUGAAGUGUCGGGUUAAGUCCCUUAACGAGCGAAACCCCUAUCGUUAGUUGCCAGCGAGUAAUGUCGGGGACUCUAGCGAGACUGCCGGUGUCAAACCGGAGGAAGGUGGGGAUGACGUCAAGUCCUCAUGGCCUUUAUGUCCAGGGCUGCACACGUGCUACAAUGGUGCGUACAGAGCGACGCGAGACCGUAAGGUGGAGCAAAUCGCAAAAAGCGCGCCCCAGUUCGGAUUGUGGUCUGCAACUCGACCACAUGAAGUCGGAAUCGCUAGUAAUCGCGUAUCAGCUACGACGCGGUGAAUAUGUUCCUGAGCCUUGUACACACCGCCCGUCAAGUCAUGGAAGCUGGUAGUACCCGAAGCCGCCAUAAUUCAGUGGUGUCGACGGUAAGAUCGGUGACUGGGACUAAGUCGAAACAAGGUA
rnacentral:rRNA from 1 species